rnacentral:rRNA from 1 species
UACGAAGGGGGCUAGCGUUGUUCGGAAUUACUGGGCGUAAAGGGCGCGUAGGCGGCCAUUCAAGUUAGGUGUGAAAGCCCUGGGCUCAACCUAGGAAUUGCACUUGAUACUGUUUGGCUUGAGUUCGGGAGAGGUGAGUGGAAUUCCCAGUGUAGAGGUGAAAUUCGUAGAUAUUGGGGAGAACACCAGUGGCGAAGGCGGCUCUCUGGACCGUAACUGACGCUGAGGCGCGAAAGCGUGGGGAGCAAACAGG